UACACCAAAAGAGUAUGAACAUUUUUCAACUCCACCUAUAAAGUUGAACUUGAAUAGGAAAGAAUAUUCAGAAACGAAUUGAAAAUGAAUUCUACAGCUGUUUUAUUCUCAGUAAUUGUUGGUAUUAUAACGUUUUUCUACCUAAUUCCCAAUGCUUCAACAUGUAUCAUCUUGAUAAAAGGUUUGAAUAGGAAAGAAGAUUAAAAAAAAAGAUGAA